rnacentral:rRNA from 1 species
AGAAUUUAAUUUUUUAUUUAAAAAGUUAAAAUAUAUUAAAAAGACGAGAAGACCCUAUAGAGUUUUAUAGUUAAAUUUAUUAAAAUUAUUUAUAAAAUUAAAAUUAAAAUUAAUUUAAUUAUUAUAUUGGGGUGAUAGAAAAAUAUGAAAAACUUUUUUUAUAUAUAUAUAUAUAUAUAUAUAUAUAUAUAUAUAUUUAAACAUUAAUAAAUGAUUAAAUGAUCCAAUAUUAUUGAUUAUAAGAAAAAAUUACCUUAGGGAUAACAGCGUAAUUUUUUUUCUUAGCUCAUAUAAGAAAAAGAGUUUGCGACCUCGAUGUUGGAUUAAGAUAAAAUUUAAAUGUAGAAG